UAGUCACAGAGGUGUAAUAGUCGAUUUAAAGAUUAUUUACUUACACCCAAGAUGGUCGCGGUGUAGGCUGGACAGUUUCCAGGUGCAACUCCGCUUAAAUCUUCGUUGGAGGACUACGACAAAUUCGGUUCUUUGGCCCCAGAGUUGUUAAGGCUCCGCAGGUUCAGCAAUUUCUUUCCCACGGAGUUGUCGAAGCUCCGUGGGUUUAGUUCGGCUCUCUGACCCCGGAGUUGUUAAAGCUCCGUGGGUUCGAAUCUUGAGUCUAUAGGAAAGGGAUACAUCUAGGAUUGCGCUCGGCGACGGGGAGAGGCCAGAGGCUAUUUAGACGUCUGUUGCCUGCUUAAGAAAUGCAUUGGGUCCGUGAGGAUCCGCCGCGCUUAGAGAUCUUCACGAUCUCUAAGUGAUUUCUCUCCAACUUUGGUGGAAGCCACCCAAGCUCUUUAUACGGCUAACAAGCCAAUCGCUAGCCGUUACGUGUGCAUAUAUUAGAAUUGGCCAAUAAUGUGGCACGAAUCUUCAUACAAAUGGCGGGAACUCCUUUGCACCGUGCAUUUCUGAGAUGCAAAAGAAAUGCACCAUGCAAAGAAAGCUACAAAUUGGCAGGAAAUUCCCCAUUGCACCGGGGUUCUCUUCUGCAGCAGAGAACUCCACCGUGCAAGGAAGCUGCCAUUUAGCGGGAACAUAAUUUAGCGAUGCCGAAGCACACACAAACAAAAACUCACAACUUUGGGUUGUGACAGUUUCGUGGAAAACCUGGCUGCAAAUUAGACAGUUGCUCGUUUCCACUUUUCUGAACCCCUUGCGCAUCAGACCUGUGUGUCCAACUGAUUCUCAGACUUCGUAUUUCAUCAAGGGAAAUUGUCCUCAGUGGCCACUGGGCUUCACAUGUAUAAUUCUAUCAAACCUCUCUUGGAAUUGGUGCGCACACUGUGACAGAUGUUUGAUCCAAAACUACCUGUGAAAGGUUGUUUUUGGGGGACUGGGCAGGAGAAAGGUGGAAUGAGAGUUAAAAGUGAAAUGUGAAGUGCCAGGGAUACAGGCACACCUUUACAACUGUCACAACCCAAAGUUGUGAUUUUUUGUUUGUGUGUGCGCUUCAGCACUGCUAAAUUAUUUCCUGCUAUUUGUCGCUUUCUUUGCACGGUAGAGCUCUCUGCUGCUAGAGAGAGCUCUGGUGCAGCGGGGGAUUUCCCGCCAAAUUGCAGCUUCUUUGCAGUGUGCAUCUCUUUUGCAUUGUAGUGAUACACGCUGUAAAGAAGUUCCCGCCAUUUGUAUUAGGAUCCACGCCAUGUUAUUGGCCGACUCCUAAUUUAGGCACAUGUGGCGGCUAGCAAUUUGCUUGCUAGCCGUACAUAAGGCUUGGGUAGUUUCCGCCCAAGCUGGAAGAGGGAGGAAGAGAGAGAGAUUCUAUAUGAAGAUCUCCAAGCGCUGCGGACCCUCGCGGACCUGGCACGCCUCUCCAAAGCAGGCAAUAGAGGCUUCAUAACCGAACCCACGGAGCUUUAACUACUCCGGAGGGAAGAAUGAACCGCGCCUCUAGCCUCUCCCCGUUGCCAAGCGCAAUCCUAGACGUAUCCCUUUCCUGUAAUUUCAGACCCCACGGAGUCUAGCAAACUCCGGGGAAAACUUAUCGGACCCGCGAAGCCUGAAUAACUCCGGGGAAACUUUUCAAACCCAACUUAACUGGACCCGCGGAGCCUAGCAAACUCCGUGGGAGCAAUCGUUUUGUCAGAGUCCUCCAACGAGGGUUCAAGCGGGAGCUGUGCCUGGAAACUUAUCCAGCCUACACCGAUACCAUCUUUGGGUGUUUUCACGCUCUCAAACCCCCCCUCUUUGGCACGGACUACAACGUCACGCUGCACCAUAAAUCUAAACCCACUCGGAAUGGACAAGACUCCUUCCUUUCUGUUAUAAAAAACCCUUUUCCCAA